rnacentral:lncRNA from 10 species
CAAGAAGAGCUGAACUCCAAACUUCUGUGUCCGGAAUUGGUGGGUUCUUGGUCUCACUGACUUCAAGAAUGAAGCGGCAGACCCUCGCGCAUACCUGCCAUGCAAGAAAUGUGAAAAGUUCUUCGGAGAGAAGGAAAAUUAUAUAGGUCAGAAACUGAGACCUACAUAAGGAAAGAAGAGCAUUGGAUGAAGAAGAAAUAAAUAAAGGUAAUAUGAAAUUCUUUAUUUUUCAUAUUUUUAUUAGUCUUUAUUUUCAUAUCGUUAAUAUUUUUCUUUUUAAUUAAACUAGUUAGUUUAAUUAAA